GAUGAACGCUGGCGGCGUGCCUAAUACAUGCAAGUCGAGCGAACGGACGAGAAGCUUGCUUCUCUGAUGUUAGCGGCGGACGGGUGAGUAACACGUGGAUAACCUACCUAUAAGACUGGGAUAACUUCGGGAAACCGGAGCUAAUACCGGAUAAUAUUUUGAACCGCAUGGUUCAAAAGUGAAAGACGGUCUUGCUGUCACUUAUAGAUGGAUCCGCGCUGCAUUAGCUAGUUGGUAAGGUAACGGCUUACCAAGGCAACGAUGCAUAGCCGACCUGAGAGGGUGAUCGGCCACACUGGAACUGAGACACGGUCCAGACUCCUACGGGAGGCAGCAGUAGGGAAUCUUCCGCAAUGGGCGAAAGCCUGACGGAGCAACGCCGCGUGAGUGAUGAAGAUCUUCGGAUCGUAAAACUCUGUUAUUAGGGAAGAACAUAUGUGUAAGUAACUGUGCACAUCUUGACGGUACCUAAUCAGAAAGCCACGGCUAACUACGUGCCAGCAGCCGCGGUAAUACGUAGGUGGCAAGCGUUAUCCGGAAUUAUUGGGCGUAAAGCGCGCGUAGGCGGUUUUUUAGUCUGAUGUGAAAGCCCACGGCUCAACCGUGGAGGGUCAUUGGAAACUGGAAAACUUGAGUGCAGAAGAGGAAAGUGGAAUUCCAUGUGUAGCGGUGAAAUGCGCAGAGAUAUGGAGGAACACCAGUGGCGAAGGCGACUUUCUGGUCUGUAACUGACGCUGAUGUGCGAAAGCGUGGGGAUCAAACAGGAUUAGAUACCCUGGUAGUCCACGCCGUAAACGAUGAGUGCUAAGUGUUAGGGGGUUUCCGCCCCUUAGUGCUGCAGCUAACGCAUUAAGCACUCCGCCUGGGGAGUACGACCGCAAGGUUGAAACUCAAAGGAAUUGACGGGGACCCGCACAAGCGGUGGAGCAUGUGGUUUAAUUCGAAGCAACGCGAAGAACCUUACCAAAUCUUGACAUCCUUUGACAACUCUAGAGAUAGAGCUUUCCCCUUCGGGGGACAAAGUGACAGGUGGUGCAUGGUUGUCGUCAGCUCGUGUCGUGAGAUGUUGGGUUAAGUCCCGCAACGAGCGCAACCCUUAAGCUUAGUUGCCAUCAUUAAGUUGGGCACUCUAAGUUGACUGCCGGUGACAAACCGGAGGAAGGUGGGGAUGACGUCAAAUCAUCAUGCCCCUUAUGAUUUGGGCUACACACGUGCUACAAUGGACAAUACAAAGGGCAGCGAAACCGUGAGGUCAAGCAAAUCCCAUAAAGUUGUUCUCAGUUCGGAUUGUAGUCUGCAACUCGACUACAUGAAGCUGGAAUCGCUAGUAAUCGUAGAUCAGCAUGCUACGGUGAAUACGUUCCCGGGUCU
rnacentral:rRNA from 1 species